UGAGGGCUUCUUCGAGGGAACGCACGUACUGUUUUAUGCUUUGCUGUGUCAAAACACCUGACAAGGACAGCCUAAGGAAGGGAGGUUUGCUUAGCUCAUAGUUUGAGCAUCCAUGGAAGAGAAGCCAGGCAGUGGUAAUAGGAGGCAGCUGGCAAUAUCAUAUUUACAGGAAGCAGACAAAAGUGAAUGUUUGUGCUUAGUUCCUGUUCCAUUUAAUAUUCAGUCCCAGACCCCAGUCCAGGGGAAUGGGGGCGGGGAGUCAAACAUUUAGAGAUCUUACCAUCUCAGCUAACCCAAACGAGAUACUUCCUCAUAGACAUGCCCAGAGGUUUGCCGCCUGAGUCAUUCUAGAUCCUACUGAAGUGACAAUAUUAGUCAUCACAAGGUACUUCUCCUUCCUACCGAAAGGAAAAGUCCCCUACUUGAAAAGAUAUAUAGCUCAGGACCACUGUCACUGCUCUGGGGCCAGGCAACCCCAUGACAGAGUCAAAACAAGGAUGGCAUAGCCAGAGAAAAUCAAACAAAACAAAACUGGAGGCCUUGGAGAUUCUGGAUCAGACACAGCCUGAAACUCACUCAGUGUAGUUCGAAAUUCCACCAACUUCUCCUUUAAGAUGAAUGGAGUUCAAGUUUCCAUGCCUGAGAGCCAAAGGUAUCAGCAUGAAAAACUUCAGUGCUUAGAAAACAUUUUAAGUCAGACCAAUUGCAAAAAUGUCCCAGAGAAAUCUGGCCCCAAAGUGGUUUUUUCUGUUGUUGCUGCUGUUGUUUUUGUUUGUUUUCCAGUAGGGCCACCUCCCAAGUUCUGGGAUGUACAGGCAUGCACCAGCAUGGCCAGGUUCAAACCUAAACUCUAAACCACAAACGAUUGCUUUCAUAUCUUUCAAAAAAGGGAAGCUUCUUGUUUCCUCCGGCUUUUGCUAGUUGAUGUUUGGCCUCUUUCCCCUGGGACUUCUCCUGCUUUCUAUGGAUACUCCCUUAAGCACCCUUCUCCACAGAUCCACGGAGCUGCCAAAUGGUACUCUAAUGGUUUGGGCUCAUGAGAAUAAACUGUUCUAUUGGUCUUCAGAUAUGAACUAUUAGGAGAAUUCAAAACCCAGCAUCCAGUCAGGUGGCCUCAGUGUUUGCCUGCUGUACUUAGCAGCAGUCUUUCCUGGAACCCUGCUGACAUCACAGAAAAUACUGUCUAGUCACUGACUUUGCCCAGCAUGGCAGUCAAAGCAAACAGUGUGGCAAUGUCCUUGUAAUGACACCGUUUACAGCAUGCUUGCCAAGAGAGUGAGGAAGUGAUCACCCAGGGACCACAGCAUUAUCAAAGCGCCUGCUCAAAGCACCGGCUCGGUGCCAUCGGUGCCAAUUCAGAACCACUCCCUCUCCUCUCAAAGUCCACAUGGAAAAGGCCCAAACAGAUCCACCACCCUCCACCAUCCCCAAGUUGCUCUCUGCUCCCGUUACUCAGCCAAAUCCAUAGAACAUGUAUGUCUUCAGGUGGAACUGCAGAUGCGAUCUAAUAAGAGAGAAAGGGAGGGAUGAUGGGAAAGAAGAAGAAUGGAGCAGAAAUAGAGUUGGGAAGAGUCAUCAAAAUAUCCACCAAUUAAAACCACAAAAAAAAAAGUGUCUUCUCACGAAGUAAGAUGAGCAUAGGGAAGAAAUCACUUCUUGGACACUGAAGUGCAGCAUCUCGGGUUCAAGCUUGUUAUUCAAGCUCUUUUUUUUUUUUUUUAUCACCCUGACCUUUUGUCUUUCUUCCAAACCGCCUCCACUCUGUGGGCCCCUAAUGUGGCAGCCCCUUAUGUGGCCUCCGCAGCUAGUGGAAUUUGAAAGGUAUACCCCAAUAGCUGGGCUAGUGGAAUUUGAAAGGUAUACCCCAACAGCUGGGCUUUUGAUGUGGGCUGCUCGCUCGGCUUUCUUACCUGCUUUUCAAGCCAGUCUCAGCUAUGUUUUUUUUUUUUUUUUUCUUCAUCAACCGAUUUUCUGUUUGUUCUUUAGGUCUCCCAGGAGAAGGGCAAAACAUGAUAAGUCUCUGCUGCCUUCUUCCAUCACGUGACAGAAAAAUCUCAGACGGAGAGGAGGCGGGAGGAUAAGAUAGAGGCGUCAGUGGAGGAAGACCGGAGAUAAUGCUCCAAGUGCCACGCCACAGAUCGUGCCCACAGAGGAAGAAAAAAACCCUCUGGACUUCAGCUAUGGCUCUGAGGGUAAAGUCCAGAGGUCUUUUCAGGAAUUUAAUCCGCAGAUUAAUGACAUUCUUUGCAAAGUGGCUUUUGCAUGAAGUCCCACCCCUAGCUGAGGAGCUACUGGCUGCUGGGGAAGAUGUGGCCCUGCAGUGCAAUCCAGUAGAUAGUCCGCGAACAUGCGGGCAGAGUGCACGGAUUGUUGCUGCUGUUUCUAAUAAAGUCUAUGAAGUUGGGAGGAGGAAACGAUGAGGCAGAUGGAGGAGGUGGAGAGAAGUGGUAGGCCUGAUCGGAAUUCAUUUUAUGCAUAUAUAAAAUUCUCAAACGUUAAGAACUUUAUUAUUUGGACUAUGGGCAGGUCAGAACAUCUGAACAAUAGUUUUCAUGACAACCAUCAGAACGGCCCCACUUGUAUCUGCCAGGAGACCUUCUCUACUGUCCUUGUCUCACAUCUGUCCGGAGCCCCCCUCCUCUGAGGUGUCACUGGUUAUAUUUGAUGCUCAGGUAUCAGGGAACCAAGGAACAAAACUUAGGCCAACCAUUUGUCUACCACAGCUCGCUCCUUUUAGCCAACGUGGGAAGAUUUCCACAAAUACAAGAUUAAACAUCCUCAGGCAGAAUCUCAAGGGCCUUCGAUUGACUCCUGGGACCAUGUGGAUGCAAAACCAGAUCCUCAUUUGGAAGCGAUGCUGUGCUGUGAAGCCCACCAUGGACCAGAAGGCUGGCAGACAGGGAGACAACCUCGUCCUUAGCACUGCAGUCUGAUCUGAAAAAGCACGGAAGGUCAUUGGGGUAAUAGAUGAAAAGACGUUGUCAAUCUGAAGUAGGCGAUUCUAAUCAUAAUCUUUUCUUUAAAUCACAAUGGUCCCAAGAGAACCAGGAAAGCCGUGAGGGCCUGUGUUUCAUGCUCUCCAGCCAUCUUUGAACUUCUGUCAGUGAACGUACUUUCAUCUAGAGAAUCCAUAGAAGACGGUUGCAGAUGGAAAAAUCUAGCCCUGGGUCAUUUCAAUCGCUCACUUUGUAGAUGAUGCAAAAACCCAAUUAUACAGAUCCUUGACCUUUUUUCCUUUAGCGUUGCUUAAAGUAUUGAAAUCUCCAUCAUGAGUUAGAUUGGAGGUGUAAAAAAAGAAAGAAAAGAAAAGUCAAGCUGCCAAUCUCAAUUUCCAUUUCUCCAUUAUCCUUGCUCGCUCACCUAAUGGAACCUCCAGAGACUUCCAGAUUUUCAAAGAAAAUUGAAGAGUCAGAAGAGCACAGGAAGGAACUGGAAAUUCUGAGGGAUAGUACCAAACCAGGAAGGAGGCUGCUGGGGUCUUCACCCUCAGAAAGUGCCCACUGUCUCCUCCCAGCAAGCCUUGAUUUAGGCUGGAAUUGCAAGGAAGUAAAGAGUUUUUGUAGUUCCCAAUGAGAACGAGGAGAUCUCAAUGCUGUAACUUCAACUCUGCCCUUGACCUUCUGGAAGAGCUGUGGGAUGUUUUACUUAGCAGUUUCCUAAGUGCUAGAUAAGUUCCUGCAAGGAACUCUGACCUUUGGGAGUUAAAGCUACACCCACAGUCAACAUGAAGCAAAGCUUACAGAACCAAAGGAACGAGAGUAGAAAAG
rnacentral:sRNA from 1 species